CGUGCUUUUAUGGGUAGUUAGACAAAUCUUCAAACUUUUUAGGUAUAAGCCCACCAUAUAUUUCUUGUUCAGGGACAAACGUAGCUGCUUCCGGUGGUGGAAAAAUUUUCUGAAGCUCCAAGUUUGGAUUCUAGACUCGAAAAUAUUGUCAGCAGCCAAGCCCAUUAACCAUUUGAUCGUGUUAAAGGUGAUGAUGCCAUUGGCAAGAGAGCUGGACGCAGGGAUCAGUAGCUGUACAUGCCUCAAUGAUCAUGUUUCCAGGUCCUUCAUAUCAUCAUCAUGGGGAAGUGGACGCUCUGAUCGAUAAGUUUCUAACAUCUCGGCUUCAUUAAUGACAAUGUAUAUUUGCUGCAAAACUGCUUUUCAACUUUUUCAUUCGUGAGCUUGGGAUCAUUGUGAUCAGAAGAAGUGGUGGAAGCCACCGACGGAGCAUCCCAUCCAGGACCAAAUGUGAAUGCAGUUGUGGAAGAUAUCAAAGCAUCACAAUCUGUAGCAGUGCUCGUGCUAUUGGGCUGCAGCUGCUGCUGUUGAAGGUUUUGGUACUGAUCGUCAGAAUUAAAUUCAAUCCCAUCGAUAGGGAUGUUGCUAGUACUUGCAUCUCUCGAGACUACUGCUGCAGAAGGCUCGUAGCUACUGGAACUGGGAUGAUCAGCUACUGUGUGAUGCAGUUUGGAGGAUGAAGCUUUGUUUUCAUUGUUGGAGUCGGAGUAAUUAGGUUCCAGAGGCUUGUGAGUUCUUGGAUCAAUUCCUUGGCUGAUCAACUUCUUACUCAGGCGAUGAAGGCGGAGGAUGAGAUCUUCUUCAUCCCAGGCGAUGUGGCCGCGCUUAACGGAAGGACGGAGGUAAUUCAUCCACCGGAGACGGCAGCUCUUGCCGCAGCGGAGGAGACCUGCCUUCUUAGGCAGAGUCCUCCACCGGCCUUCGCCUUCUCUCUUGAUAAGCUCCAGCUCCUGUACUAUUUGCUGCUGCUGCUGCUUGUGGUUUUGAUGAUGGGUUCCUCAUUUCGGCCACUCUCCAGUAGUUUUUGCCCUUGUUCUUGUGGUUCUUGUCUGGUAGAUUUUGAAGACGGAAUGGAUAGCUGAAUAUCGGAAAUAUGCUUAUCGAAAUGUAUGCUUCGGAGUUAAGGAUGGAGAUAGAAUGGGUCCGCACGCAUACACCUUGCGAGCGUGAUUGGCACGCGCUGUCAUAGGUGGAUUACGAUUAUUUUGGUUAAGAAUAGUUCUAAUACAGUUUUUUUAAUACAUUAUUUCAAAUAUUCCUUUCAAAGAAUGAUGAAUUUUGUUCAUUUAACAUCAUCCAUCUUUAAUUGAUCUAUUUGUGCGGUUUUCA